rnacentral:lncRNA from 10 species
CUUCUCGCUGCCUCCACCUCCUACUCCAUUCAAUGCAUCUUCCACAGCGCCUCCUGAGUUUGUUUCCUAAAAGAGCAACCUCAAGACUCAGCUGCUCUGCCUGAAGAACUCUGCUGCCUCCAGCAGAAAGCUCCACCUUUGGAAACAGAUAUGAUCCUCCAGCAAUCCCAACACUCGGAGGCUGAGGCGAGAGGAUCACUUGAGCUCAGGAGUUCAAGUCCAGCCUGGGCAACACAGCAAGACCUCCAGUGAAAUUCAAAAAAAUUAGCCAGGCGUGGUGGCUGUAAGAAUUAAAGAAAGAGGAGAGAAACAUGAAGGGUGGUUUGACAGUCAUCAGGGACAGGUUUAUUUUGAAUAAUAAACUUGGCAGCUGGCCGAAAUGCAUGAGGCUAGAAAGGGAGCUGUAACUUAAAGGGGCGGUGUUUGUCCCAGAUGACAGUGCUCUUGCUCCGUCAGUGUCAUAUGGUUGUAGUCCCAGCACCUUGGGACGCUGAGGCAGGAGGAUCGCUUAAGCCCAGGAGCUUGAGGCUGCAGUGAACUGUGAUUAUAUCACUGCACUCCAGCCUGGGCGACAGAGCAAGAUCUUAUCUCAAAAUUAAUGUAUUAUUAUCAUUAUUAAUUUUUUGAGACAGAGUCUUGCUCUGUCACCCAGGCUGGAGUGCAGUGGCAGAAUCUCUGCUCACUGCAACCUUCGCCUAUUGGGUCCUUUGCUGCUAUGAUUCCAGGGCUGGAAGGGUCCUUAAAGAUAUUCCAGCCAACGCCCUGGGUGAUGCUAGAAUUCCUUCUAGACUUUAGGCUUGAUCCACACACUCCCAGAACUAGUAAAGCUCUCAGAGACCUGGGGACCUGGUAUGCAGGGCCCACUCCUGCCUUCUCUGGGGGAAUUUUCCCCACCGCCUCCUUUCUUUGCCUGGUCCAAGUCCCAGCUUCCAGAAAGAGGUCCAUACCUGAGAUACCUCCACUUCCUCCUCCUCCAGAGCCAGCUUAAAGUCAGGAGGCGGCACAAGUCCGCGAAGCUCAGAAAGUCCCCCAGAUUCCUCUGUGGUCAAGCCAGUUUCAUUCAAUUGAAGCUUGUUCCCUGAGGAUUUGUUCAUGGGGGAGUUAUUGUGUACUUGAUUAUAGUUCCCAUGGCUACUGGCUCACAGUGUGAAGGGAAUGGGCAUACAUCCACGUCCUCCUGCAAAAUUGGGAUUUGACCUCAUUUAUAACCAAACAUGCAGCAGGCAACCUUGCAAAUUACACAGCAUGAAGAGAGUCCAGAGAGUUCUGAAUGACUUAGUAGAAAAUAACAUUAAAUAAAAUAGUACAUGCGGAAGGAUGUGUUCUCUCCCUGGUUCAACUUAGGUGCAUAAUAGCUGUUCAUAGCAGUAUUAACCUUGACAUCCAGGAGGGAGACCAUUCAACUGAAAGGUUGCAAACUGGCAACCCUCAGUGGGAAUCUCACCCAUAGACCUAUAUAUCCAAUUUCAGAGUACUAUGGUUUGAAUGAGUCCCUCAAAUCUCAGGUGUUGGAAAGUUAAUCCCUGAUGUAAUACUGUUGAGAGGUGAGAUCCUUAAGAGGCAAUUAGGUCAAUGGAUUAAUGCCAUUAUUUCAGGAAUGGGUUUGUUAUAAAAGCAAAUUCAGCCCCCUCUUUCUCUCUCUCAUGCUCUCUUGCCACGUGAUGAUGUCUCACCAGAGGCAGCUCCUGUAUCUUGGACUUCACAGCCUCUAGAACCAUAAGCCAAAUAAAUGUCUAUUGUUCCUAAACUACGCAGACUGUGAUAUUCUGUGAUAGCAACAUGAAGUGGACACAGAGUGU